UACGGGGGGGGCAAGCGUUGUUCGGAAUUACUGGGCGUAAAGGGCUCGUAGGUGGCCAACUAAGUCAGACGUGAAAUCCCUCGGCUUAACCGGGGAACUGCGUCUGAUACUGGAUGGCUUGAGUUCGGGAGAGGGAUGCGGAAUUCCAGGUGUAGCGGUGAAAUGCGUAGAUAUCUGGAGGAACACCGGUGGCGAAGGCGGCAUCCUGGACCGACACUGACACUGAGGGGCGAAAGCCAGGGGAGCAAACGGG
rnacentral:rRNA from 1 species